UAAGGGUUGGGGUUGAGGCGUGGGAAAGGCGAAAAUGCUGGCGAGAAAAACUUAAAGUGAUUUUUUAUUAAGUAUAAAUUGUUCUUUUAGUAUGGCCUAUAUUCUAAAACUUUUCCCCAUUCUUAGAUCAAGGUUUUUCUCGCCCGCAUUUUCGCCUUUCCCGCGCCUCGCCUCCCUAAUUUUC